GAGCCGUUCCAGAGCAUAAUCAUCCAUAACUACUAUUACUUCAUCGUCUCGCCACUACGGUUCGAAUUUAAAACAAAAUUAUUAGCCUGUUGUGUGUUCUUAUGAUCUUAGGUGGAAGAGUUAUAUCAUGUUUGGAUUAACCCAUGUUAAUAACACCUCUCUGCUCAUGAGUUAUACCUAUCCCUCAAGUCGGAAUUAAGAAAACUUGAAGCAGACUACCAAUAGGUUUAGCCCUCCUGGUGCUGAUACAGCUUUUGCUAUUGUGGACUUGGAUGGUGGCUGCAUUCUGUUAUGGAAAGCUGUAAGAACUAUAAUGCUGUCUUGAUAACUGAGGAACAACUGCUUAUCUAAGGAUGACGAAAUGUGCAGUUCCUCACUGCCCAAAUAGAAAAAUGAAGUGGAUACAAAGGAAAGGGGGCACUACCUUUCACAGACUUCCAUGAAACAGAGAAGACAUACUUUUGCAGUGUGUUGUGAACCUCCAGAUUCCUGUAUUAGGAAAUACCACUGAUCUUUUUUGGAAAGGGAUGCUGUACCUACUAUCUUUAAAGCCAAAGAAAACUCUAAAAAGGUAAACUAUUCUAAUUGUUUUGAGGUUUGGAGUUAUCUUUUAUCUAGAGCAAAAGUUUGAUGUGUCAAUGUAUUUUUGGAAUUAGUUUUUGGUGCCACAUUAUGUCACUACAAUAGAUAAAUAUAUUUUAGUGACCCUAUGCUUCCCCCCCAAGAAAUGGCUCAAAAAUAGCAACUAAGGUUUAAUUGUAAAGUUGGGAGAUAAUGUGAGGUAAGGUUUUCUCAGCUGCUAACUGCUAUAGCUUCUUAUUGUACUUCUUUCCAAUCCAGAUUCAUGAUACUGUACUGUAAUACUAAUUACUUAAACAUUAUCAUAUUGACCAUUUUUAUUAUCCGUAUUUUUACUAUUACUAUGGUCAUUAUCAAAAGUCUUGCCAUAAUUGGAAAGUAUAUCAUUGAAAGCAUUAGUGCUGGUUGUCUCGGGACAAAUAUCUUUUCAGCACUCAACUCUUUAAAUGUUAACCAAUAAUUUUUGGGUCAUGUAUGAUGUUACUUUAUUAGUGUGUUACCUGCUGCAUAUGCAUUAUGAUUUCAUAUGAAAAUUCAUGUGUUUUAUCAAUCAUUAUAGCAAUGACAGAUAUUACAAACAAGAUUUUGGCUCAAAAGCAUGAUUUUGAUGUUGACAAAGCCAUGUAUUCAGAGUGGCAUAAACGUCAGGAUAGCCCACAUAAUUGUUUAUGAAAUACAUACAUAGGUAGAAAAAAAAAUGCCUGUCAUAAGAAGUGGGUCAUUAACAUGAGAUGAUAAUGGGGACUUUUCUUCAAGUUUAUGUGUGAAAUCACACACAAUUCAGAUAAAAAUGUUGCGAGUUGCAAUAUCUCGCAAAAACAAUGAUUCAGCAUAUAAAAAGGUUUGUACUUAGCAUAGACACACAAAAUCUUAAAUAUGUGAUAUAAAUUUCAAACUGCUUUGUUGAAAGUGCCAUACUCCCAAUUUUUAUAAUUGUUUUCUCCUAAUUCUGCUUUGACUUAUGUAGAAAACUUACCUGUUCAUGAUUACUCAUCCAUAAUCAACCAGUUUUAUUCAUAAACAUGAAAAAAUGGGAGAGCUGUAUGGCUGUAAAAUACACCCAAAGAAGACUUCAGGAAAGAGAAUUCACAGUAAGAAAUUUGUGGGAAUCACAACUCAUUUUUCUCAUCCAUCAGUUGACUGCACACAAAAAUAUAUUUAGUGUUCAGUAUACGUCAUUAUCACAAGCUCUUAGAGGACAAGGGAACUCUGUUGAGUUCUGUGUAUGGAGAUUAUCAUUUAAUUUCAGUGCACAAUGCAUAAACUGAAGGACACAUUUUUUUAUACUACAUAUAUUUCCAUUUCAGUC